UACAGAGGGUGCGAGCGUUAAUCGGAAUUAUUGGGCGUAAAGGGCGCGUAGGCGGUUUGUUAAGUGAGAUGUGAAAUCCCCGGGCUUAACCUGGGAACUGCAUCUCAAACUGAGAGACUGGAGUACAGUAGAGGGGAGUGGAAUUUCCGGUGUAGCGGUGAAAUGCGUAGAUAUCGGGAGGAACACCAGUGGCGAAGGCGGCUACCUGGACUGAUACUGACGCUGAGGCGCGAGAGCGUGGGGAGCAAACAGG
rnacentral:rRNA from 1 species